AUAACAACUCGCACUUCUUGUGCUGUUGUUGCUGUUGUUCGGUUAUACCGACGGUAUCGGUGGCGCUACCGCGUCCGGGGGGAGUCGAAAUCCACACACUGACAGAGGCUAUGCCUUUGGUUGGCAACUGAUGCUGUCAUAUCGAAUGGAAAAGGCUUCUGCAGUCGUUCUGCAGUAGCUCAAGUUGGUACAAAUCUGGAAGGGGAGUCUGAAACGUCUGGAACGCGUCUCUCUCUCUCUCUGUGUGUGUGUGUGUGUGGACCCUUCGGGCGAGCGUAGCUGUCGUUACCACGGCGACUCGCAUCGAUGGACCAGGCGAAGCGUCUGUCGUGGUACUGCUUUCACGAGCUUGGGUGUCGCCAGCAGCGCUUUUGCUACUGCUUCUGCUGCUUCUGCUUGGAUGUGAUCGCAUAGUUUCGCUGCCACACCAGGUCACCGUAACGAAACGGGGCGUACACGUGUCGCACCAAGGCGUCCAAAAUUAGAAAGCGUGGCUGGAUGCAGUCGGAGAUUGUGAUGUAUCCACUUGCGUUGCACAUGGCAAGACGAGUGCUUCAGGUUCUGCUUGCGUUGGCCUCUACACUGGUCGUUGUCUACUUUCAAUGGCUCCCUGGCCCUGCUUGCAGGAAGAUUCUCUUGAGACGUGCCUCGGAUGUGUAGUCAAGACACGCCAGCGAACCGAGCGCGGCUAGAGCAUCACCCUACACGACCAAAGAAUUGCUAACAAUGAUGAUCACAAGGAUCACGAUGCUCAUGAUCUUGAUCUUCAUCGUGUCAUCAUGACAUGCAAGCAUGCACGUUACGCUUAGGAUUCAUGAAGCGUGCUUAUUCGUCAAUUUCAAUGAACAUCGUUUCGUAGAAGCGCAGGUAGCAGAGUCGCACGAUGCAGCAGUGGACGCUGUUGUAUCGGAGGCAACAAACCCGUCGAUCUUGUGUCUUUCUGUCGUUCCAGAUGCUUUGACUGGGUCGAGUAAACACGUCCAGGUCAAACUUGGUUCGAGUCUGAGAGACUCUCCCGAGGAAUUGUUGCGUACGCGCUGCUAGCGUGUGCACUUUGUCUGGCAUCGAGGCGAGCAUCUGCAUGACAGAGAUGCACUCCUUUUGUUUACGUAGAUGCUGGUGGUGUCCAUGGGUGGCAUGCUGUCGACGUCUCCGAUACCUCCGACAGCGUAUUCGUCGCAGAGAUGACGCGAAAAUCUGCUGAAGCGGAGCGAGUCGCGUUCAUGCGUCAGGGGGAUCUCGACCCUUGACGCCAGUGAAAGAAGACAGGAGUUCUUUCACGGCAUUCGCUGGCAACCUCGCAGCGCGCUCGUACAACAAACUGAACGGUAGCGUCGUAUGCACUGCGAUAACUGCACAAGUGGCGGUGUUCUUGUCUCUGAUCCAUGGAGAGCGGCUAUAAAGAUAAGUU